rnacentral:misc_RNA from 1 species
CCGAGUGCCUCUGGCUCGAACCCACUGUGAACUGUUCUAGUUAGCUACCGUUCCGUACCUCGGCGGUGUAAACCCAGCCAGACUGGGCCGCCGGGGCUUCGGAUCGGCGCAAGCUCUGUGUAUUCUGGUUGUAUCUAGGUGUUUUUACAGAACGGA